rnacentral:rRNA from 1 species
GACGAACGCUGGCGGCGUGCUUAACACAUGCAAGUCGAACGGAGUUACGUAUGAAGUAUUUCGGUACGGACUACAUAACUUAGUGGCGAACGGGUGAGUAACACGUGGGCAACCUGCCCUUAACCGGGGGAUAACAUUGUGAAAACAGUGCUAAUACCGCAUAACAGAGUAUCGGGCAUCCGAUAUUUUUAAAAGGAGCAAUCCGGUUUAGGAUGGGCCCGCGUCCAAUUAGCUAGUUGGUGAGGUAACGGCUCACCAAGGCUACGAUUGGUAGCCGAACUGAGAGGUUGAUCGGCCACAUUGGAACUGAGACACGGUCCAGACUCCUACGGGAGGCAGCAGUGGGGAAUUUUGGACAAUGGGCGCAAGCCUGAUCCAGCAAUGCCGCGUGCAGGAUGAAGGCCUUCGGGUUGUAAACUGCUUUUGUACGGAACGAAAAGGCUCUGGUUAAUACCUGGGGCUCAUGACGGUACCGUAAGAAUAAGCACCGGCUAACUACGUG